ACAGGGAUUGCCCUAGUAACGGCGAGUGAAGCGGCAACAGCUCAAAUUUGAAAUCUGGCCCUUGGGUCCGAAUUGUAAUUUGUAGAGGAUGAUUUUGGUGCGGUACCUUCCGAGUUCCUUGGAACAGGACGCCUUAGAGGGUGAGAGCCCCGUACGGUUGGAUACCUAGCCUAUGUAAAUCUCCUUCGACGAGUCGAGUAGUUUGGGAAUGCUGCUCUAAAUGGGAGGUAAAUUUCUUCUAAAGCUAAAUACUGGCCAGAGACCGAUAGCGCACAAGUAGAGUGAUCGAAAGAUGAAAAGCACUUUGAAAAGAGGGUUAAAUAGCACGUGAAAUUGUUGAAAGGGAAGGAUUUAUGACCAGACUUUUUCUGGGCAGAUCAUCCGGUGUUCUCACCGGUGCACUUUGCCCAGUUUAGGCCAGCAUCGAUUUCCGGAGGGGGAUAAAAGCUUUAGGAAUGUGGCUCCCUCGGGAGUGUUAUAGCCUAUUGUAUAAUACCUUUCUGGGGAUCGAGGUACGCGCUUCUGCAAGGAUGCUGGCGUAAUGGUUAUCAAUCACCCGUCUUGAAACACGGACCAAGGAGUCGAACAUUUGUGCGAGUGUUUGGGUGUUAAACCCUCACGCGUAAUGAAAGUGAACGGAGGUAAGAGCCCUUACGGGUGCAUUAUCGACCGAUCCUGAAGUUUUCGGAUGGAUUUGAGUAGGAGCAUAAAUGUUCGGACCCGAAAGAUGGUGAACUAUGCGUGGAUAGGGUGAAGCCAGAGGAAACUCUGGUGGAGGCUCGCAGCGGUUCUGACGUGCAAAUCGAUCGUCAAAUCUGCGCAUGGGGGCGAAAGACUAAUCGAACCA
rnacentral:rRNA from 1 species